rnacentral:rRNA from 1 species
GGUUAAGUGACUAAGCGUACACGGUGGAUGCCUAGGCAGUCAGAGGCGAUGAAGGGCGUGCUAAUCUGCGAUAAGCGUCGGUAAGGUGAUAUGAACCGCAAUAACCGACGAUACCCGAAUGGGGAAACCCGGUGCACUUUGGUGCAUCAUUGCAACAUGAAUACAUAGUGUUGCAAGGCGAACCUGGGGAACUGAAACAUCUAAGUACCCAGAGGAAAAGAAAUCAACCGAGAUUCCCCCAGUAGCGGCGAGCGAACGGGGAACAGCCCAGAACCUGAAUCAGUUUGUGCAUUAGUGGAAGCGUCUGGAAAGUCGCAGGGUACAGGGUGAUACUCCCGUACACAAAAAUGCACUUGCUGUGAGUUCGAUGAGUAGGGCGGGACACGUGACAUCCUGUCUGAAUAUGGGGGGACCAUCCUCCAAGGCUAAAUACUCCUGACUGACCGAUAGUGAACCAGUACCGUGAGGGAAAGGCGAAAAGAACCCCGGCGAGGGGAGUGAAACAGAACCUGAAACCGUGUACGUACAAGCAGUGGGAGCACCUUCGUGGUGUGACUGCGUACCUUUUGUAUAAUGGGUCAGCGACUUAUAUUCUGUAGCAAGGUUAACCGUAUAGGGGAGCCGAAGGGAAACCGAGUCUUAACUGGGCGUUAAGUUGCAGGGUAUAGACCCGAAACCCGGUGAUCUAGCCAUGGGCAGGUUGAAGGUUGGGUAACACUAACUGGAGGACCGAACCGACUAAUGUUGAAAAAUUAGCGGAUGACUUGUGGCUGGGGGUGAAAGGCCAAUCAAACCGGGAGAUAGCUGGUUCUCCCCGAAAGCUAUUUAGGUAGCGCCUCGUGAACUCAUCUUCGGGGGUAGAGCACUGUUUCGGCUAGGGGGCCAUCCCGGCUUACCAACCCGAUGCAAACUGCGAAUACCGAAGAAUGUUAUCACGGGAGACACACGGCGGGUGCUAACGUCCGUCGUGAAGAGGGAAACAACCCAGACCGCCAGCUAAGGUCCCAAAGUCAUGGUUAAGUGGGAAACGAUGUGGGAAGGCACAGACAGCCAGGAUGUUGGCUUAGAAGCAGCCAUCAUUUAAAGAAAGCGUAAUAGCUCACUGGUCGAGUCGGCCUGCGCGGAAGAUGUAACGGGGCUAAACCAUGCACCGAAGCUGCGGCAGCGACGCUUAGGCGUUGUUGGGUAGGGGAGCGUUCUGUAAGCCGUCGAAGGUGGCCUGUGAGGGCUGCUGGAGGUAUCAGAAGUGCGAAUGCUGACAUAAGUAACGAUAAAGCGGGUGAAAAGCCCGCUCGCCGGAAGACCAAGGGUUCCUGUCCAACGUUAAUCGGGGCAGGGUGAGUCGACCCCUAAGGCGAGGCCGAAAGGCGUAGUCGAUGGGAAACAGGUUAAUAUUCCUGUACUCGGUGUUACUGCGAAGGGGGGACGGAGAAGGCUAUGUUAGCCGGGCGACGGUUGUCCCGGUUUAAGCAUGUAGGCGGAGAGUUUAGGUAAAUCCGGACUCUUUUAACGCUGAGGUGUGAUGACGAGGCACUACGGUGCUGAAGUAACAAAUGCCCUGCUUCCAGGAAAAGCCUCUAAGCAUCAGGUAACACAGAAUCGUACCCCAAACCGACACAGGUGGUCAGGUAGAGAAUACCAAGGCGCUUGAGAGAACUCGGGUGAAGGAACUAGGCAAAAUGGUGCCGUAACUUCGGGAGAAGGCACGCUGGCGCGUAGGUGAAGGGACUUGCUCCCGGAGCUGAAGCCAGUCGAAGAUACCAGCUGGCUGCAACUGUUUAUUAAAAACACAGCACUGUGCAAACACGAAAGUGGACGUAUACGGUGUGACGCCUGCCCGGUGCCGGAAGGUUAAUUGAUGGGGUUAUCCGCAAGGAGAAGCUCUUGAUCGAAGCCCCGGUAAACGGCGGCCGUAACUAUAACGGUCCUAAGGUAGCGAAAUUCCUUGUCGGGUAAGUUCCGACCUGCACGAAUGGCGUAAUGAUGGCCAGGCUGUCUCCACCCGAGACUCAGUGAAAUUGAACUCGCUGUGAAGAUGCAGUGUACCCGCGGCAAGACGGAAAGACCCCGUGAACCUUUACUAUAGCUUGACACUGAAUAUUGAACCUUGAUGUGUAGGAUAGGUGGGAGGCUUUGAAGCGUGGACGCCAGUCUGCGUGGAGCCAACCUUGAAAUACCACCCUUUAACGUUUGAUGUUCUAACCUGGCGCCGUGAUCCGGCGUGGGGACAGUGUCUGGUGGGUAGUUUGACUGGGGCGGUCUCCUCCUAAAGAGUAACGGAGGAGCACGAAGGUUAGCUAAUCACGGUCGGACAUCGUGAGGUUAGUGCAAUGGCAUAAGCUAGCUUGACUGCGAGAGUGACGGCUCGAGCAGGUGCGAAAGCAGGUCAUAGUGAUCCGGUGGUUCUGAAUGGAAGGGCCAUCGCUCAACGGAUAAAAGGUACUCCGGGGAUAACAGGCUGAUACCGCCCAAGAGUUCAUAUCGACGGCGGUGUUUGGCACCUCGAUGUCGGCUCAUCACAUCCUGGGGCUGAAGUAGGUCCCAAGGGUACGGCUGUUCGCCGUUUAAAGUGGUACGCGAGCUGGGUUUAGAACGUCGUGAGACAGUUCGGUCCCUAUCUGCCGUGGGCGCUGGAAGAUUGAGAGGGGUUGCUCCUAGUACGAGAGGACCGGAGUGAACGCACCACUGGUGUUCGGGUUGUCAUGCCAAUGGCAUUGCCCGGUAGCUAAGUGCGGAAAAGAUAAGCGCUGAAAGCAUCUAAGCGCGAAACUUGCCUCGAGAUGAAUCUUCCCUGGGCCUUUAAGGCCCCUGAAGGGACGUUGAAGACUACGACGUUGAUAGGCCGGGUGUGUAAGCGCAGCGAUGCGUUGAGCUAACCGGUACUAAUGACCCGUGAGGCUUAACCUUACAACACCAGAAGCGUUCUG